AUGAUGGCACCCAGCGUGCAGU
rnacentral:misc_RNA from 1 species